GAGGGCAUAGCUCAGUGGUAGAGCGUGUGCUUAGCAUGCACGAGGUCCUGGGUUCAAUCUCCAGUCCUUUCA
rnacentral:tRNA from 1 species